AACGAACGCUGGCGGCAUGCCUAACACAUGCAAGUCGAACGAGACCUUCGGGUCUAGUGGCGCACGGGUGCGUAACGCGUGGGAACCUGCCCUUAGGUUCGGAAUAACUCCCCGAAAGGGGUGCUAAUACCGGAUAAUGUCUUCGGACCAAAGAUUUAUCGCCUUUGGAUGGGCCCGCGUUGGAUUAGCUAGUUGGUAGGGUAAAAGCCUAUCAAGGCGACGAUCCAUAGCUGGUCUGAGAGGAUGAUCAGCCACACUGGGACUGAGACACGGCCCAGACUCCUACGGGAAGCAGCAGUGGGGAAUAUUGGACAAUGGGCGAAAGCCUGAUCCAGCAAUGCCGCGUGAGUGAUGAAGGCCUUAGGGUUGUAAAGCUCUUUUACCCGGGAUGAUAAUGACAGUACCGGGAGAAUAAGCUCCGGCUAACUCCGUG
rnacentral:rRNA from 1 species